GGUGCUCAUGUACAUGUACAAGUCACAAAACGGAGGAAGUUGCUGGGUAGUUCCUUGAUCCUUUGUGUAAAACUAAAAGUUGCUGUGACAAUAGUGAGAAUGCGUAACACAAAUUUCUGUACCAAAACUUUAGGUAAAUGCAAGCAUGGAUAAUUAUACCGAUGUUUGUAGCCUGUGCUGUGAAUGGUGCAAUAACAAAAUGGACUCACGGUACAGGGAGUGAGUAAUUACGUAAAUGUAUUGGCCUAAGUAAUCAAUCAUUGCAUAGGCAGGUGGUAUUUCUACAUAAACUUGUUUUUGUUUUGUGAAGAUACUAGACAUGGUUUGCAUAUUUUUUGGGGAGUAUGCAGAGUCUAAGUUUGGCAGGUAGGACAGGUAGGGUAGUUAAUCUCACUUUUUCAGCUUCUGAAGAAAAAAAUCCUUUUCAAAAUUCCAGAAGAGUUUACAAGACCUCACAGAUGACGAAACCCCACUCAGCAAUGAUUCAUACAGGAAUUGAGGAUGAGCCAAAGUCAGCAUGGAUUGUCGAACCAGUAUGGAGGAGUUAUGUAUGCCUUUCCAGGAUACUUCAGUUUGAAAGCUUUCGGACAGUACUCGCAGUGCCGUAGCUGGUGCAUGACCAAGUGAUUGAAGACAGUUCAACAAUGAUGGGCAGAGUGGAACUGAAAGAAAGCAGAUGAGGAGACGGACCUUUUCAGUUUCGCAGCGAGGUCUAGUAACUUCGUAAUCGGGCAAGGUGAUGGAUGUUGCUGCUUGUUCAGUUUUUCAUCUCCUGUCAAGUUUGCGCCUGAAAGAAGAGGUGAUGGAGGGACACACUGAGGGCCCAUGCACCUUCACAUUCAGUCGUACCUUUGGACUGUGUUAAAUAUUUCAAUAUUGGAACAGUUGAUUAAUAGUAAUUGUUCAAAUACAGUAAGUUGCUCUGGAGUGACUGGUAUCUUUCCGUAAGUGUAACAGGUAAAGGCUCUUUAAGUGAUGGAAAUUCAACCUCUGCCGCAUCUUGUACUUUUCAUCUUGAAACUUCCACGUUCGAGAAGUGGGGGACUGUUAUAAUAAUUAUAUACAGUACAUGUAUUGUGCAUUAUUUAGUUAUUACUGUUGAUUCUUGGUUGACCUGUUCGAAUGUUCAAUUGAAUCAUUUAGAUUAAUUUUGUAUGAAUAAUGCUGUUUGUUUUAUUAUUUUCUAUUUGAUAGUUUCUAAUGCUCUUGCCCAAGUCUGCCGCAUAACCUCUUGCAAUAUUUCACAAGAAAAUUCAUAGAUAUGAUAGAAUACGGCUGCAGGUAAAUUUGGAAAACUAAUAUGAAUUGUAUGCAAAUGAAAAAAAGUGAAUUUAGACGUUUAAAAAUUGUACCUGUAUGCUUGUUAACUCGUGUUAUAUUUCCGAUGUAAAUGCACUGGGCAGUGCUGCAUUUCUUUGAAAAAAGAAUCAAAUUCAUCAUCAUGUAUCUUUUAAGAGACUAGUACCCUCAUUUAGGCUAUAAUGCUGUUGGAACAAGUCAAUCUAAUUCUGAAUUUUACUAUGCAUGGAUUAAUUACUACUUUGUUGAAACCUAAAAGGUGUUGUAUAAGCUGAUAAGGUUGGAAGUUAAUUAAUAAAUACAUACAUUUUUUUAUGGAAA